rnacentral:rRNA from 1 species
CAAUAGCGUAUAUUAAAGUUGUUGCGGUUAAAAAGCUCGUAGUUGGAUUUCUGCCGAGGACGACCGGUCCGCCCUCCGGGUGAGUAUCUGGUUUGGCCUGGGCAUCUUCUUGGAGAACGUAGCUGCACUUGACUGUGUGGUGCGGUGUCCAGGACUUUUACUUUGAGGAAAUUAGAGUGUUUCAAGCAGGCACACGCCUUGAAUACAUUAGCAUGGAAUAAUAAGAUAGGACCUCGGUUCUAUUUUGUUGGUUUCUAGAGCUGAGGUAAUGAUUAAUAGGGAUAGUUGGGGGCAUUCGUAUUUAACUGUCAGAGGUGAAAUUCUUGGAUUUAUUAAAGACUAACAUCUGCGAAAGCAUUUGCCAAGGAUGUUUUCAUUAA